ensembl:ncRNA C14B9.11 ncRNA
GUGUUUAUUCAUCCUCGUAAAAUAGUUAUUUCGAAACUAGUGACUGUCGUCGUCGUAUACAUUCAAUUAAUACACGUAACCGAAAAUGAGAGAAAAGCAGAGGAAUAUGGGAUUGGGGAGGGAAAAGUGACAAAAAAAGCAUGAUGAACA